GGGGGAGGCAUAGCCGCACCGAAUACUGCUAAUUUUCGCCACCUUAGUGAAAUUCUAGGGCUCGCCCG
rnacentral:tRNA from 1 species